AACAAGAGUGCACACACUGGAAUGUCUCGCCUUCUUUACUAAUCAUUGAUAUUAUGUUGAUAGUCCUAAUAAUAAAGCUUUAUUACAACUGUCACAUAAACUUAACAUAAACCAAGAAAACUAAACAUUGACCUUUGAACCAUGAAAAUGAGGUCAAGGUCAGAUGAACCAUGCCAGGUAGGCAUGUACAGCUAACAAUUCUUCCAUACAACAAAUAAAAUUGACUUGUUGCUUAAGAAAAACAGACCAAAACACAAAAGCUUAACACUGAGCAAUGAACCGUAAAAAAUGAGGUCAAGGUCAAAUAAAACCUGCGCGACUGACAGGUAGGUCAUAAAAUAUUUCCAUACACCAAAUAUAGUUGACCUAUUGCAUAUAGUAUUAGAAAAAAAGGCCAAAACUCAAAAACUUAACUUUGACCACUGAACCAUGAAAAUGAGGUCAAGGUCAGAUGACACCUGCCAGUUGGACAUGUACACCUUACAGUGCUUCC
rnacentral:lncRNA from 1 species